AUACCCAGAAGUGGAAUGGCUGGAUCAUAUGGGAGUUUUUUUUUUUUGUAAUUUUUGAGGAGCCUCCAUGCUGUUUCCACAAAGACUGCUGCUCACAAGGACCUAGAGUAAGGUGACUUAAGCCCAGAGAGCCUUCAUCAAACAAAAGCUGCACGGAGAACGUAGAGAAGGGUUCACGGCCUCUACAUGAAAUGAUAGCCAGCAUUUAUUCAGCUUUUACUGAUUUGCAGGCACAGUUCUAACUGCAUUAUAUGGAUCAUCUCAUUUAAUCCUGGCAACAACUCAAUGAUGAUGAAGGUCACAUCCAUAUUAAUUGCCCUUAUAGUGAAGCCUUCCUGGAGGCCACCUGUCAGCACAUCUGGAGCUCAUGUUGCUGCUGCUUCCAACACGGCACCAUUUCCAUCUCUACUCUGACUUCAAAGACCCAUCAAGGUUGAUGAUAUUUAAUGCAUGUGAUGUGGGGAAGAAGAAAUAGUCCUUGGUGAAAUAAGUGUGGGAAACAGGAUAUUGAAGUAAGGAAGUGUUUUUGUUCCAAUAUUUCUCAUAGUUUUUGGUAUCUUAAUACCCAAUGCAAACCUCAAAGAAAGGGUAUGAUUUGGAGAAAUACUUCCUGAUUUUAUUUUGCUAAUUUAUCUGUGUUUUUUUUUUCCAAAUUAUAUCAUAGAACAUGCUUUAGGAAAUGCUAACUUAGCCUCUGAUAUUCAAAUAGAUUUUUUUCAUGUGGCUCUCUGUAUCUAUUAGCAUCCUGU